CGACGGAGCGGACUUUUUCGAAAGCGAGCUUAGUGGCGAACGGGUGACUAACACAUGGAUGAUCUGCCCCGAAGCGGGGGACAACAGUUCGAAAGGACUGCUAAUACCGCAUAAGCUCUACGAGUUUAGAAGUUGUAGAGUAAAGGAAAUUAUUUCACUUCGGGAGGAAUCUGUGGCCCAUCAGCUAGUUGGUAGGGUAACGGCCUACCAAGGCGAAGACGGGUAGGGGACCUGAGAGGGUGGCCCCCCACAAUGGAACUGAAACACGGUCCAUACAUCUACGGAUGGCAGCAGUAGGGAAUAUUGCCCAAUGGACGAAAGUCUGAGGCAGCAACGCCGCGUGUGCGAAGAAGGUCUUCGGAUUGUAAAGCACUUUUGACAGGGAAGAGGAAGGACAGUACCUGUAGAAUAAGCCUCGGCUAACUACGUGCCAGCAGCCGCGGUAACACGUAGGAGGCAAGCGUUAUCCGGAUUUACUGGGCGUAAAGCGCGUGCAGGCGGGCAUGUAAGUUGGAUGUGAAAUCUCCCGGCUUAACUGGGAGAGGUCGUUCAAUACUGCUAGACUAGAGAAUGGGAGAGGGAGGUGGAAUUCCGGGUGUAGUGGUGAAAUGCGUAGAUAUCCGGAGGAACACCAGUGGCGAAAGCGGCCUCCUAGACCAUUUCUGACGCUAAGACACGAAAGCUAGGGUA
rnacentral:rRNA from 1 species